rnacentral:rRNA from 1 species
UGGGAGCUUGCUCCCUGAUGUUAGCGGCGGACGGGUGAGUAACACGUGGGUAACCUGCCUGUAAGACUGGGAUAACUCCGGGAAACCGGGGCUAAUACCGGAUGGUUGUUUGAACCGCAUGGUUCAAACAUAAAAGGUGGCUUCGGCUACCACUUACAGAUGGACCCGCGGCGCAUUAGCUAGUUGGUGAGGUAACGGCUCACCAAGGCAACGAUGCGUAGCCGACCUGAGAGGGUGAUCGGCCACACUGGGACUGAGACACGGCCCAGACUCCUACGGGAGGCAGCAGUAGGGAAUCUUCCGCAAUGGACGAAAGUCUGACGGAGCAACGCCGCGUGAGUGAUGAAGGUUUUCGGAUCGUAAAGCUCUGUUGUUAGGGAAGAACAAGUACCGUUCGAAUAGGGCGGUACCUUGACGGUACCUAACCAGAAAGCCACGGCUAACUACGUGCCAGCAGCCGCGGUAAUACGUAGGUGGCAAGCGUUGUCCGGAAUUAUUGGGCGUAAAGGGCUCGCAGGCGGUUUCUUAAGUCUGAUGUGAAAGCCCCCGGCUCAACCGGGGAGGGUCAUUGGAAACUGGGGAACUUGAGUGCAGAAGAGGAGAGUGGAAUUCCACGUGUAGCGGUGAAAUGCGUAGAGAUGUGGAGGAACACCAGUGGCGAAGGCGACUCUCUGGUCUGUAACUGACGCUGAGGAGCGAAAGCGUGGGGAGCGAACAGGAUUAGAUACCCUGGUAGUCCA